AUUCAAGCAAGAGUGUAGCACCCUACCCAAAACCCCCUCAAGGAUUUAAGUGGAAAAAGACUGACAAGGAAGAUCAGGACUGGAUGCAGCCUCAGUCACCUGAAAUGUCAGACGAGGAAGAUCAGUCACCUGAAACAUCACCUGAAAAGUCUGAUGUUUUGAGGCCAACUGAGACAACCAGGAGGUCUAGAUUGAGCACCUCUCCUUCCAGUCUAUCCCGACAUCUGACACCACACUCCAGCCAAUCCCGAUCCAGACAAGCAACACCACCCUGCAGCAGGUUUCAUUUGGAAAAAAAAUUGAUUUAAAUAAAAAAUGUAAAUUUCAUCCUGGAAGCCUGACUAAUCCGAGCUUCAUAGACAUUCUGUAAAGCGAUUAUCAUUUAAAUCACCUUUUUUUGAGGUGAUAUAAAUAACAAUUUAAAUCAAAGCAAAGUGAUUUAAAUUGCGGCAACCCUGUUUUCUCGACACUGAUUGAACAAAAUUUCAGUCUCAUAAAGUAAUUUCUUUGAUCCUAAGGAUUUUUUUUAUAAAACGU